rnacentral:lncRNA from 1 species
AUGCCGCGUGUGACACCGCAGAGGCCCCUGCGUUGGGUGGCUGGAGCGGUGCUGCCUGUCGGGGUGGCCGUGGGGGUCCUCGGGGCUGGGGACACGUCCCCGUGGGGCCCGUCCCCUGGUCUGCUGGCCCUGACAGGUCCUCGGGAUGGCUGGGGUCUCCCCGGAGCCCAGACCCACAGCCGCCCGGCUGCAGCGCGCACAAAUCCGGCGAGGCCUGAGCACCCUGGGGAGCUGGGGACGGAGCAUCCCUGGCUGCGGCGGGCUUCCAGCAUCCCCUGCCUCCAGCGUGCCUCCAGCAUUCCCAGCUCCGGCAUGUCUUCAGCAUCCUCCCGCUCCAGGAUGCCUCCAGCAUCCCCAGCUCCGACGUGCCUCGAGCAUCCUCCUGCUCCGGCACAGCUCCAGCAGCCCCUGGUGCCAGCAGCCCUGGCUCCGGUGCACCUCAAGCGUCCUCCAGCUCCGGUGUGCUUCCAGCCUCUCCGACUCCGGCGUGCCUCCAGCAUCCCCAGCUCCAGUGUGCCUCGAGCAUCCUCUGGCUCCGGCGUGCUUCCAGCAUCUCCGGCUCCAGUGUGCCUCAAGCAUCCUCUGGCUCCGGCAUGCUUCCGGCAUCUCUGGCUCUGGCGUGCCUCCAAUAUCCUCCGGCUCCAGUGUGCCUCCGGCAUCAGCGUGCCUCCAGCAUCCCCAGUUCCAGCAUGUCUCCGGCUUCCCUGGCUCCGGCAUGCCUUGGGCUUCCCCGGCUCCGGCAUGCUUCCAGCAUCCUCUGGCUCUAGCAUGGCUCGGGCUUCCCUGGCUACGGCAUGCUUCCAGCAUCCUCUGGCUCCGGCAUGCCUCCGGCAUCCUCCGGCUCCGGCACGCCUGCAGCACCCUCCAGCUCCGGCAUGCCUCCGGCAUCCUCCAGCUCUGGCGUGCCUGCAGCACCCUCCAGCUCCGGCAUGCCUCCGGCAUCCUCCGGCUCUGGUGUGCCUCCGGCACCCUCCGGAUCCGGCACACCUGCAGCACCCUCCGGUUCUGCCAUGCCUCCGGCAUCCUCCGGCUCCGGCACGCCUGCAGCAUCCUCCAGCUCCGGCGUGCCUCCGGCAUCCUCCGGCUCCGGCACGCCUCCGGCUUCCCCGGCUCCAGCGCCUGCGCCCUGCCCUGCUCCGCCCGCAGCCCAGCGCCCGGCCGCCGUGGCACGUCCCGUGUGUGUUUGCACUUUUCUACCAUGCGGUAACUUGUCGUGUCUCCGACCUGGUCAUUGCUGGCACAGCUCCGCCUCGCGCCUGCCCACACACACGCAUGUGA